GUCAAAGUCGAAUGUGCUGAAUAUGCUCAUAUUUUUGCGCAAAUGAAAGAGAAAAGAAUGUGAAGUCCUGCAGCUCUGUGCUAAGAACUCUGGGUUCAUGGAAAAGUUGGAAAAUGUCGAGCUCAACUUGGAACAAGGACAGUAAACAAGGACUUUUAUUUAGGAUAUUCAAAGGAGAAUAAUGGCCAAUUCUUUUGGAAAGGAUAUGCCUGAAUCGUAAAUAGAAAUUUACGAGUUAAUUUUCUGUUGCUCCAUGUCACCUAUUUAGGGUUAAUCAUUUGGGGGGAGGAGAUGUUAGUUAAUCAUAUCUCACUUUUCAGGUAAAGAUUGAUGUUGACUAACAAGUUAUCACAUCUUCACAUGUGCUAACAUUAUCUAGCCUUCUAUAACAGAAUAGGGGUUAAAGAGAAUGGAUCUGACAGUUAGCAUGAUGAUGCAACCUACCAACCUUUACCUUUUGCUGAGUUCUUUUGAUAGCAAACAAUUCAAUCUCAUUUAUCGGCUUUCUGCAGGCAAAAGUUGUCGACGAUAUUCCGAAAUGCAAGUAUAAACGGGGAAGUCUUUACUUAAUAUUUCUAUUUUUUUUUUUUUAUCUAAUCAGUUUCUUUUUCUUUUGGUCUGUCAUUGGAGUUUUGCAAUUGCCCGUCGUUGCCGAGAUAAUCAACUGGGGUAAGCUAUGCCUAUAGUACCAACUAGCACUUCGCACGGGACAAGGCUCCACUCAGCAACAGACGUCUUUUCCAUACGUACUGAACAAGGUGAAUAACAUUGGAAUGCUUUCGAAACACGUGUUAUUGAGCAUAAUGUCCUCAUCGUGGCCAAACACUACAGCCUUGUGAUGAUCAAUGGAUGGCCGCCCACUAUGACUACUUUGUCAACGAAGCAGAAGAAUUUCAAUCCAAUUUAAUGUGCUGAAGGACUGACCUACCCUGUAAAUUAAAAAAAAAAUAUGUUAUCAAGGAUGAACACUUGGUAAAUCUGGCUUAACAAUUCGAAUAAGAUUGCACCACAUCUGGAAUUUAGCUUUGUGUAAUAGGUUGAACAUAUCAGCAGCCGUACAUUUAUUGCAAAUAUUGUUGGAAAUGUUAUGUAUUGAUGUGAUUAAUGCUUUUUUACAGAUAGGCCAGAAUAACAGAUUGAACUGGGGAUUGGAGUGUGGGAGAAUUAAAUAU